CUAAUGGUAUGAGGUCUAAAUUGUUAUAGAGUGAGAUAGACAUGCCUUAGACUGAUUGUCUACAAGCCCAUUUUACUCUCUAAAGACGAAAGAAACACAAAAGAAAUAAAAAAAUGAUGAUAGUGAUUUGAUGUCCGAUAGAACUCCGUAGAGAUUCAUCGGCUUUGCAAUCGAAUUUAUAGCUCUGACGAGCGAUAGAUAAUCUGAACGAAACCAGAUUUUGGUGAUGCCAAUGUGUUGAGCGUGAGAGAGAGCUCCCCUAACCGCUAACCCUUCAGCCAUGAUGGCAGAUGGAACUGUCUAUUGAUAUUGACAUCCGUCGGAAGCAAACAAAGGAGAGGAGGAGUCGAAGAUCCAGGUGAGCCCCGCAGCUGACGAUUCCUUUUUCCAGGCAGCGUCAGGGUUACAUGUCACUACAUCAGGCGGAAUCGAUUGGGGCCGCACUGGAAUCUGAGUCGUUCUCGAUAGAGCCGUGCGAGGUUCUUGAGCCUGUGUCCAUUUUCUAGCGUCUAUCAAGGCCUUUGAAGUCGUAGCUAUGGCUGAUGCGGGCGUGUUUCAAACAUAAGUUUGUUUCUGGUGGUCCAUAUGGCCCAACACACCCAGGAGAAGAGAUCACUCAGAAUACCGCACGGCGGUAGACACUUCCAAAAGACUGCUUCUUCCGCAGCAUCAACGAAGGAUAAGCACGUGUCUUGUUUGAAAUCGGAGGCCAGGGGAAUCAAAUCCCAAACCUGUUAAGCAAAAGCGCAGUGGAGAAAGAUGUGUUUUGUUGUUUUGAGCAGGUCACAGUGGAUACAUGAAGUGUUCUGCAACAUUCCUCUUUUGUGGAGAUUAUCUCCCGUGGGUAGAGCCCUUUGUAUCGACUUCCAGAGGAAGAGUUGCAGUUUGGGAAGAGUAGAGAUGGUUCAGACUGGUCUAUACCAAUUGAAGAAGCUAGGUGGUGAGGAGCUGUUCGGAGCAGUCUCUUGACUUGCGACAACAGAGGCGUAGCCUGAUUUCGUCAAGUAGAUUCUAGAGUUUGUUGGAUAUCAAAUGAUCAUUGGUUGAUCAAGUCAGACACAUACAUGUCGCCAUCACCCUCCUUGAGGGGUCCAAAAAGAACCACUCGAGAGGAAGUUGUGAACCAGGAGUCAGACCAUAUUUUAACUUAUAUUUCCUUUCCAAUGGUUCUUCCAAGUUUGGUAAUCAGCAAGUUUUUUCCCGCUAAAAUGUAUGUCCAACCAUGUGAUGAGGACUUUGACGGUUGGACUUUAAGAAGGGAAGGUUUAUGACAUUACUUUCCAAGUAGGACACAAGCCAGAAGACAGUUUGGAUUUGUGAGCAUUUUCUAUGGGAGUUUCGCAAGUAAGGCAUAAUUGAAGGUUUUAAUGUUUUUGAAACCCAAGCCUCCCUUUCUUUUAGGCUUUGUAAGUUUAUCCCAGGAGAACCAACAUAUUUUUUUCUUGCCGAUGUUAGAGUUUUACCAGAAACGCGUAACAGCUGACUGGAUCAUUUUGUACAUGUUUAUAGGGAACAUGAAGCAAGUCAUUGCAAAUGAGGGAAUCGCAGAGAAAAUAAUUUUGAGCAUUAAAUGAUAAAACA